rnacentral:rRNA from 1 species
UACGUAGGGGGCUAGCGUUGUCCGGAAUUACUGGGCGUAAAGCGCACGUAGGCGGCUUUGUAAGUUAGAGGUGAAAGCCCGGGGCUCAACUCCGGAAUUGCCUUUAAGACUGCAUCGCUAGAAUUGUGGAGAGGUAAGUGGAAUUCCGAGUGUAGAGGUGAAAUUCGUAGAUAUUCGGAAGAACACCAGUGGCGAAGGCGACUUACUGGACACAUAUUGACGCUGAGGUGCGAAAGCGUGGGGGAGCAAACAGG